UAAUGACUGUGUGCACAGGAGAAUUACCCUGUACCUGAGCCUCAACCUUCUGGGGGAAAGGGAACUACUUUUUCCUUAUCUGUACAAUACCAUGCUGCAGAUGGGUGACAGACAAUGAUAAGAAAUAGCACAGCCAGACUUGCUUCCUGCAUGAUCAUGAUCAUGAUAGGGAGAGACACAAGAGAUGGGAAACUGCUGUUCCACAAGGAGUCUCCAUAGAAUUUUGCAGCAGCCAGGUGUCUGGAAGGUCUGGAAGUGAGUCCUGUUCUUCCUUUUUCUUUCAGCAGAAAUGAAAUCCCAGUUCCUUACCCCUUCCCUUCUGACCCUG